rnacentral:hammerhead_ribozyme from 1 species
CUGCCACUGAAGAGUCCAAUAAUAGGACGAAACGGUCGUCCAG